UGGGGAAUAUUGGACAAUGGGCGCAAGCCUGAUCCAGCAAUGCCGCGUGAGUGAUGAAGGCCUUAGGGUUGUAAAGCUCUUUCGCACGCGACGAUGAUGACGGUAGCGUGAGAAGAAGCCCCGGCUAACUUCGUGCCAGCAGCCGCGGUAAUACGAAGGGGGCUAGCGUUGUUCGGAAUUACUGGGCGUAAAGGGCGCGUAGGCGGCCUGUUUAGUCAGAAGUGAAAGCCCCGGGCUCACCUGGGAAUAGCUUUUGAUACUGGCAGGCUUGAGUUCCGGAGAGGAUGGUGGAAUUCCCAGUGUAGAGGUGAAAUUCGUAGAUAUUGGGAAGAACACCGGUGGCGAAGGCGGCCAUCUGGACGGACACUGACGCUGAGGCGCGAAAGCGUGGGGAGCAAACAGGAUUAGAUACCCCUGGUAGUCCACGCCGUAAACGAUGAAUGCUAGACGUCGGGGUGCAUGCACUUCGGUGUCGCCGCUAACGCAUUAAGCAUUCCGCCUGGGGAGUACGG
rnacentral:rRNA from 1 species